UAGGAUUAUUAUCCAAGGGACAUCGAAUAGCCUGAAAAUGGAAAAAGUAUUUUGUUUCAACCUUAUUUUGGGAGCACAUCAACUGGAUAAGCUAAUUUCCGGCCGCUGUACAACUUUGUAAAAUUAAUUUUUUUUAAAUUUCGCUUUUUU
ensembl:ncRNA T19H12.13 ncRNA